rnacentral:rRNA from 1 species
CCCCAAGCCGCCGCCACUCCUCCUGUCUCUUCCUCCUCGGGUUCAUCCCCGAUCCAAAUCCCCUCCUCGCUUUCACCACCACACCAACCCGAGCCAAUCACCUCUCCUUCCACUUAGCCUCUCCAUCGGGAUCCAUCCCGUCCAACCAACGAGCCCCCUCCUCCUGCUUUGUUCCCCGAAGGGAUCGAGAGAGUUGCCGCCGCCUUGUCACCUCCCGCGCCUCUCGACCCCCGCCUCCUCUGCACGCAUCUCACCGGAGCAAGCUCACCCCGAUCCAGUCGCUGCCGGUGAACAGCGGCAGCAACCGAGGAGACUGCCGUCGCGCCCUCUGCCAUGGAGCUCGCCUCCAUAGUCAGCACCGCCCGAGGGCCCCACCGUCCCCGACCUCCCCGCGGCCCACCUCACCUCAUCAUCCUCGUCUCCUCGCGACCGCGAGCCUGUCCUCGGACGCGCCUCCUCUGGUUCCCGAGGCCGAGUCGCCCCGUGCCCGCAACCCCGCGUCGACCUCCUGCCUCAUCUGCGUCGUCGGAGCCCCGAGGAGUUUGCGCCGUCCAUUCCUGCAUCCCGCUCGUCCCGGAGUUCCCUUCUUCGCCAGGACCACUGCCGCUGCUUCGCUCGAGCGACCGCAGCCUCGGGAGGAGCCCGAGAGCCUCCUCCUGCUCGACCCUGCUGCCUCGCUGCGGACCUCUUCCAGUGUGGACCUCGCCGGAGCUCCGCAAGUCGCCGAGCACAUCGCGCGCCGACCGUUCCGAGCUCCAAUCCGCGACUCCCCUUGCCGGAAUUGAACCCAGGCACCUCCCCGCGCUCAGUUCCGCCGUCCUCGACCGGUUCCUGCUCGCCCUCGCCCACACAAGUCCCUCGUCGCGCCGCCGUCGUCAAGUCCCUGCCGUGGCUCUACUUUCUGACGAGAACAGGGCGAGGUGCCCGCUCGCCUGUUCCUUCCCCGUUGACUUUUCAUCAAUGGAUUGCAGCGCCCAGGCCCAUCGCGCCAGCCUCCCUAGUUCACCGUCGAACUGGGCCCAAGGCCUCAAAGGCCCAUUGUGAGCAGCUCCCAAAUCCGCCCAGAUUCAGCCUGCCUAUAUUUUUUUCGUGCCCUGUGAAUUUGUCUAUUUAUCCAGGAGUUUGCAGUUUUACAGAAAAGCCCUCAUACAUCAUGCAUAUAAUAACUUAACAACCGUGCAUCGGUUUAAAAUGACUUAUAUAUGAAACAUGACUAGAAUUUCAUCUAGUUUCGUAAUAUGUCAUUUUCAUCCAUGUUUAAAAUGUUGUUUGUUUAAAUUUUCUUAAAUAACUUGCUAAAAUGAUUUAUUUCAUAACUAAAUAACCGUAGCUCCGAAUUUAACAAACUUUAUAUGUAAAUGGGGUAGAAUUUUGCAUAGUUUAACAUGGUGCACUCUUCUUGCAUGUUUAACAACUAUAAAAUUGUGUUUAGGGCAGAACAGUACCAUAAUCAAAAUAUGCACAUGAGGAGUUUCCGGACUUGUUGUUUGUUGUUCCGGCCUCAUUUAACCUCGCCUAGAUAGGUAGUUUUCAUUUGCUUCACCUCUUGCCAUGUUAAGCAACAUUUAAUAUUGUUGGGUACGUAAACAAGAUCGAACUAAAUAACUUGUUGUGGAGUUUCGUCACUAUGCAACUCGUUGCAUAUUGAGCUCCACUUACCAUGUAGUUUUGCUUGUGCACUUUGCCAUGCCAUGAAUCAUUAAACCGGACAUGCAUCAAACUUGGUUGUGCAUCAUGCGAUGUUUAUGUGGUGGUUGUUUACUAUGUUGUUUGCUUCUUUCCGGUGUUGCUUCUUCGGGUUGGUUCUGAUAACAUCGUGAUUGUGAGGACUCGUUCGUCUACGUCCGUUUGUCUUCUUCAUUGACUCGUUCUUCUUCCUUGCGGGAUUUCAGCUUGCAGGUGUCGUGGAACCAUGCAUAUGACGCAACUAAGCUCAAGGAGGAGCUCGAUGAAGAUCUUGUCCUUUAUGUUGUUCUGCUUCCAGUUGAUCAGUAGUGGAGCCCAGUUGGGGUCGAUCGGGGACCUUGUCGCAUUUGGGGUUCUUCUUUUAUUUUGGUUCCGUAGUCGGACCUUGAUUGUAUUUGGA